AGAACGAACGCUGGCGGCAUGCCUAACACAUGCAAGUCGAACGAGACCUUCGGGUCUAGUGGCGCACGGGUGCGUAACGCGUGGGAAUCUGCCCUUGGGUACGGAAUAACAGCGAGAAAUUGCUGCUAAUACCGUAUAAUGACUUCGGUCCAAAGAUUUAUCGCCCAGGGAUGAGCCCGCGUAGGAUUAGCUUGUUGGUGAGGUAAAGCUCACCAAGGCGACGAUCCUUAGCUGGUCUGAGAGGAUGAUCAGCCACACGUGGGACUGAGAC
rnacentral:rRNA from 1 species